GUACUCUUCUGCAGCACAUUUACUAAAAUUGGAACAACACAGAGAAGAUUAGCAUGGCCCUUGUGCAAGGAUAACACAAAAAUUUGUGAAGUGGUCCAUAUUUUU